UACAGAGGGUGCGAGCGUUGUUCGGAAUUACUGGGCGUAAAGCGCGCGCAGGCGGCUUUCUAAGUCCGUCGGUGAAAGACCGGGGCUCAACCCCGUGUCAGCCAUGGAUACUGGGAGGCUGGAGACAGGUAGAGGCAAGCGGAAUUCCGGGUGUAGCGGUGGAAUGCGUAGAGAUCCGGAAGAACACCGGUGGCGAAGGCGGCCUGCUGGGCCAGUUGCUGACACUGGAGGCGCGAAGGCUAGGGGAGCGAACGGG
rnacentral:rRNA from 1 species